rnacentral:rRNA from 1 species
AACGCGAAGAACCUUACCUACUCUUGACAUCCAGAGAAUUCGCUAGAGAUAGCUUAGUGCCUUCGGGAACUCUGAGACAGGUGCUGCAUGGCUGUCGUCAGCUCGUGUUGUGAAAUGUUGGGUUAAGUCCCGCAACGAGCGCAACCCUUAUCCUUUGUUGCCAGCGCGUAAUGGCGGGAACUCAAAGGAGACUGCCGGUGAUAAACCGGAGGAAGGUGGGGAUGACGUCAAGUCAUCAUGGCCCUUACGAGUAGGGCUACACACGUGCUACAAUGGCAUAUACAAAGAGAAGCGAACUCGCGAGAGCAAGCGGACCUCAUAAAGUAUGUCGUAGUCCGGAUUGGAGUCUGCAACUCGACUCCAUGAAGUCGGAAUCGCUAGUAAUCGUAGAUCAGAAUGCUACGGUGAAUACGUUCCCGGGCCUUGUA